rnacentral:rRNA from 1 species
CCUACGGGGGGCAGCAGUGAGGAAUAUUGGUCAAUGGGCGCUAGCCUGAACCAGCCAAGUAGCGUGAAGGAUGACUGCCCUAUGGGUUGUAAACUUCUUUUAUAUGGGAAUAAAGUGCAGUAUGUAUACUGCUUUGCAUGUACCUUAUGAAUAAGGAUCGGCUAACUCCGUGCCAGCAGCCGCGGUAAUACGGAGGAUCCGAGCGUUAUCCGGAUUUAUUGGGUUUAAAGGGAGCGUAGGCGGGUUGUUAAGUCAGUUGUGAAAGUUUGCGGCUCAACCGUAAAAUUGCAGUUGAUACUGGCAUCCUUGAGUACAGUAGAGGUAGGCGGAAUUCGUGGUGUAGCGGUGAAAUGCUUAGAUAUCACGAAGAACUCCGAUUGCGAAGGCAGCCUGCUGGACUGUAACUGACGCUGAUGCUCGAAAGUGUGGGUAUCAAACAGGA